rnacentral:snRNA from 1 species
UUACUCACCUGGUGCCGGAAAUUCCGUGAUCAGGAAGGCGGAGACCCCAGGAGGAGGCCCUUCUACUGCACUUCGGAAGGGCUGAGACCUGCCACUCUCUCAAACUGGAAAAGUUAAGGCAUGUAAUUUUUGGUAGAGUGCGGAACCUUGUCGCGUA